UACUGACGUUGUUCUCCUAUCAUAUUUCACUUCCCAGUUAAACGGAAGCUUUCGCGCCAGCGCUCAGAGACGUCGUUUUAACGUUAUGUUGGGGAUAGGCGAGGUGAAGAACGGCGACCAGAAAAGCACUGCCAGGUUGCCCCGAUCGAUACGCGUACUCCCGACGACUCUAGUCUCCUUUUUCUUUUCAUUUUUUAUUCUCGCCUUCUCACUAUUCCCCUUCACUUGGAGCGAUUUUCUAUCUCCGAUUAAUAUUUUGAUUGCCUUGAAGAUUUGGAUUUCAAUCGUCGUUGCGUAGAGUAAAAUACAAAUACCGAUAUCGUCCGUACAAUCUAUAACAUACAUACAUUAUUUGGCUGGUAUUUCUCUUUCUAAUCUUCAGGUACAAUCGCCAAACGAAGCGUGCAUUAUUGACCAAGUCCUAAUUCAAAUUUCGUCCGAGGCUAUGACGCCGCGACAGGGGCUUUAUAUUUGGUAUGUAUCCAUUCGGGCGACUGAGCUUUCUAAUGGACAAUUAUGGACCGAUCAAGACCCGAUACCGGAGCCAAUAGCACAACCCACCUUUAGUCUGGAGCGAAAUCUUCUUUGUGAUCCAAUGUUGCGAUGAGUGCGGGGAUCACAUCGAAUGCUGUUAUUUGGGAGGUCCGAUUUCUGGGAGAUCAUGAACAAAGCUGAAGAUCAGAAACAUGAAAUUUUCAAAUAACGAAUCCCAGUAUAAGUCUAUAGAAAUGAAUCAAAAGCAUAAGUAGUGUAUCACUUAUCACGAGAGCCAUAAUGUAUUUACGUUCGAUAAAUCCUCUUUGACUGCAA